rnacentral:lncRNA from 1 species
UAGAAAUUACUUCAAAAAGAAUCCUAAAAAAUGUAAAUAUUAUAAUUGUGGAAAAAUAGGACACAUAUCCACAGAAUGCAAAGAACCUAGACAAAAACAAAUAAAAGAAAUCCAGUUAGAUAAUGAUGAAUUUAUAGAUAUAGAUAUAGUUAAGAAAGAAAUAGAUACAGACAACUUUUCUAGUGAAGAUGAAAUAAUUGAAUCAGAUAUAACAAGUUAAGAAGAAGAUGAAUCAGACUGAAAUAGGAGAAACAAGUGAUAAAGAUAUAAUAAUAGACUAUAC